CCAUUGCUUUCCAGCUGGGAUAUAGCUCACUUUUUAAUUUCCUAUGGUGGAGUAUUAACUUGUCAAAAAAGAUAUGCAGGGGGGACCUGAUGUGGACAUCUCGUGAAUCAAGUGCUGCAUCCCUGGACAGAUCAAUGGUUCUCUACAUUUUGUUGUUGUUCUGUGGAUGGUGUAGUAAGAGAGAGAUUUCCCCUGUGCGUCUUGUCUACACUGCGUCCCAGCUUCCUAUCUUCAAGUGGUUUUAUAUGUUUGUUAUAUCAAUUUGAUUACUACACAACUGAAUCAAGAUCUCAUUGUUAACUAUACAAUAGUCACUGUGGCUGGAUCUUAAUGUUACUACAGAUAUUCCCAUUGAGCCUUAGGGAUUCUCUACCAUUAUGACCUGAAUUUUAUAGUUUAAAAAUAUCUAAUUUUGUAUGUUUAUGCGUGAGACUCAUUGCAGAUAGAGGGCCAGAUCAUUAGUCACAGUUGUGCUGUGCUUUGGCAGAGGCCCCAGGAGUGGAGGGAGGAGAUAGUGGCUGCAAGCUAUCUUUUCUUCUUGCCUAAUCCUGAACCUGGCUAUUGGCUGAAAUGGCCCCUAGUGCAAUUUAAAAUGUCCAAAGGGCUACUUUAAAUUACAGUAUCUAAGACGUUUCUAUUGUGACCACUCUGCCCACUGGUAAUUUCCAGAGUUCAUUGCACUCUAGCUAUGGCCUAACAUGACCCUUAUGCCUAAGCAGGUACUAUGAGGUUGGCUACUCCAGCUUUACACCACUGGUGAUUCUUCCCCUACUAGCAGGGGAGUCCCAGACUGAUUGCUUAGGGUAGUUCUCCAUUUCCACUACAUCACUGGAGCAAUACCAAGCAGGAGAUGAGGUUUGUAGGCAAGGCGGAGUUGUCUGCUAAUCUUCCUAUUUAAACUCUCUAUUAUUAUGAAUCUGAUCACAAGAGAAAAGACCCAGCCUAUGACAUCUUUAUGGGACAAUGAUGACAAAAAUCUACACUCUGAUCUCUCCUUUUCCAGCCCAGGAAGGCUAUACUAGUGGUGGGAAACUGAGGUAGCUGCCAUGUCUACACAACAGAGAGAGGUAAGGUCCAAAGAACUUCAUUGAGAGUAAUCACCCAUCUGUAGCUGUAGUGGGCAGAAUCAGAUUCAAAGCUGAUUGGAUGGCUGAUGUGGGGCUAAUCCCCAUCUUGUGAAGACCUGCUCAGUUUUGUCCUGCCUCCAAUAGCUACUGGUAGGUCAGUAGAACCCAGGACCUACUGCAAGAGAGAGAAGGAAAGAAAAAGUUUGAAGAGUCAGUUUGUUUAUUGCCUGGAGUUGCCACAACAUCUGCCACCCAACCCAGCUGCCAGGAGGAUGGCAGAGAAGGGCCCAAAGAAGAGGAGUCCAAGGCUGUGUUGCCCCUGCUCUGUAUCCCCUACCAAAGGGUGCAAAAGGAAAGGUUUGUGCCUUGUGCACUCCAGCUUCCUUUCAGCCUCAGGGACUGGAAAGGAUUCGCUUUGCUCCCCCUACCUUCCCAGGAGUUCCCCACAGAUAGAGCAAGGACCAUUUCAGGUUACUGGCUCAGCUGCUUCCAGUGUAACAUGGCUGGGCAGGCCUGUCUGGCAGAACAUCUCACAGAAAAUCAGAGGAAUAGAGAAGUUGACAGAAAAUGACGCACAAAUGUCUGGGCUAACUCAGACCCCACUUGUGCUGUGGUCAGCCAUGCCACCGCUGCCAGGUUAACAGAACACAGCUUGUGCUGCAGGUUGGCCAGUACUCAGAAAACACACUGAGGAGCUGUGGACCUUGCCCUGAGAAAGAAUGGCAGAAUUUGUGGCUGUUUACCUGAAAAAGUUCCUCUUUCAAAGGCAUAGGUAAAAUAUCUGGCCCUCUCUGACAAUCCAGUAAGGGAGGUGUGUUUAACUCCUGAUUAAAGUGAUCAGCAGUAGCUUAAAAUUUCUUGUUUGUUGCCAAGGUGUUUGUUUUUAUUCGCAAGGUGCUGAUGCAAGACGAGUUUUGGUUUUUGUUUCAUAGACCAGAUUCCAGAGGGGGUAGGGGCUAGAUUUAGAAGCACCUCAAAACUAAGUGUGUGUGGGGGGGGGGUCUCAAAAGGUGGGGGGCUAGUCCCUCAUCAGCCAUUCAAUCAGCUUUGAUUCUGUCCUCUACAGGUUCAGCUCCAUACAGAGGAUCUGAGGAACUAUUCUUUUGAAGAAGAGAAACAUUUUCACAAGUAAUUACAUAAAAAGGAGAGUGGGAGAGUUUAUCUGCCAUUCAGUAGCCAUACAUUUUUUGUAAGAGACUUAACCUUCAGGUCUAAGUUGGACAGAAAAAUUAGAGGGGCUGUGAUGCUGUAUGAUUGAAAUAUGAACAGGUAUAACAUUGUUACUACCACUGUUACACAAUUGCAACAAAUCUUAUACGAAGUUUGUCAUGUAAAGUAUUUAAUGGAAAAGUUACAAUCUAUCAAAUAUGAUUAUCCUGUUUAUAUGCAUAUAUCAUUUUUGUAUCUAAAGUUUUAUGAAUAUUGACUAUGUAGCAGCAUUUCAAAUGUCUGUUCCUGCGGUAACAACAAAUAACAUCUACAUUGAAGCCAGACCAGCUUUGUGUUGAUGGCCCAUCAGAGGCAAUUAACUCUCAUAAUGGGCCACAGAAGAAACUCAUUCCACCCAGAUGGCUCUUCCUGCAGAUGCCUUCGCCUCCAAGUAGCUAAUGGCUUGCCCCUGUGAGACAGCAAACCCUGUAAGGGCAAGUGAUCCUGGACUCCAUCUUGUGCCUGUACUUUUCCACAAGCUGUGCUGUGGGCUUUGUUUGGGACAGUAAAAAGAAAAGGAGUACUUGUAGCACCUUAGAGACAGACUAACAAAUUCCAUCCAUAUGGCAGAGGGUAUAAAAGACUCUGGAAACAUCUCCACUUUGUUUUCAUUUCUUUGGACUGGAUUUCUAACCAGGAAGCACUAAAUAAGGACUGAUGACCCCCAAGCUAUUUGGGUAAUUUCCAGAGACUUUUGCAAACUAGUAGUUUAUUCUAUUGCUCCUCCAAACCUAAUACAAGAACUUUUUCAGUCACUUGUAAGUAUAUGAUUUCCUUAACCAUUUCAACUUUUUUUCUUUUCUCUUGUAAACAAAUAGCACGAUUAUUGGAUAAGAUCUGAGUUAUAUAUUGACCUGGCUAUGAAGCUUAUCUCCUUGGGAUCAAAAGAACUCUUUGAUUAAAUUGGUUUUCAAUAACUACUCAUCAUAAAGCUUAGAGUCUGGGUGGUGAAAUAAGUGCUGGAAUGCCUAAGGAGACGCAUUUUUUACUUCUUGUCUCACCACACUGGUUAACAAGCUUAUUUUUAUUAUUGGUUUGGUAUAUAUUCUGAUGACUAACCACCAGUUUGGGAUGAGUGUGCCCCAUUUCUCAGCAGUUUGUCCUGAAUCUGGUAUUCUCAGCUGUGACCGCCUGCCAGUUUGGGGGGCAUUAUAAUAAUUUGCAUAAUAUGCUACACUUUGUUGUCUCACAAUGAAUAGAAUAUCAGACUUGUUCAAAUGUGUGCAAUUAUGCAGCAGCUUAUUGAGGAUGUGUUGCAACUGGGUUAUUGUUGAAUACUGUAGAAACCCACAACACAAUGUUAAUGCUCCAUAGUUAAGUCAGUAAAUGCAGAAGUUAGGUUUUGUAUUCUAAUCUCUUACAAUUAUGACUUAUGAUAGUCUGCAUUAUCAUGCCGUUAGAUAACCCUGGAUAUAUAAAAUUAUGCUGUAUUACUUCAGAAGCAGUGUGAGCACUUAAUUCAAGAUUGUGUUGAAAUGUAUAUGUAGCAGAGACACAGUUAAGGUUGUCCUUUCUAUCUUUAACUUUCAAGUUUCCUGACUUUUGAGUCCUUAACCGUGUAACUUUAACAUGGGAAGGUUGUGGGAGGAAAAAUAGCCUACCUGCCAUUCUUUUCUUUAGGAUUUUUUGGGGAGGGAGGGGAUAAUGUAGAAUUUCUUUAACUAAGUGAUUGAUAAAUAUUUGAGUUGAUUAUGUGAAUGCACUGACAGUUUAUGUUCAGUUGCAGAAUCUGGAGUGCUGCUUGAAUUCAGCUGGCAGCUAUUUUAUUAAAUUUUUCAGGAUCUUUCAGGACCAUUUGAAUAUAAUAUGCAGAUUGUCGAAGCUUUUUGUUUUUUCUGAACAUUUUGUGAUAUUUUCUUGUCAAAAAAAUCAAACAGCUUCUUGUAAUAUUUUUCAGUAGAAUUGUGGAUGCUUAUCAGGGCAGAAUUUAACCUUUUCUUAUUAGGUGUAACAUGCAGAGUCCACAAAAUCCCAUUGAUUGCAGCAGGAUCUUGUAUAGCAAGGUUUCCAUUGUGAAUAGUUCUACUGACAAUUGUAUGCAGCUGAAUAGUUUGUCAAAAUUGUCUUGUAUGGUUGUAACUAAGAGUACUGGCCCCUUUAAGAGCAAAUGCUGCCUGCCUGCCUGCCUGCCUAUUACUCACCCUCUAUGGCCUGGCAAAUAGGAGCAUCUGAUCAAGACAGCCAUAUAACUGGAGUGGCAGGACUAUACAAAGAGCAGAUUGUGGCUGGAAGAGCCCAGAGCAGUUGUGGGGUCUCAUUAAAGAGAACUGGGCAAACCUCAAAUAGGUGGGGCUGUGGGAAAGGCUUGUUAAUGAAGAGGCAAGAACUUGUUCUGGGGAGGGGUUAAUUAGGGGACAGAAGAGGGCUGGGUUGAAACAGUAGUGGUGUGGAAUUAGGCAGAGUUGGCACCUGUGUGUUUUGUUUACAGAAUUCAGCCUUGGGAUUGCAGUGAGGGAAUCCUUCCUUUCUCCUUCUGCAUUAACAGGGGAGAGGACUGUUUAUCCUUGAGAGAGGGUACAAGGAGUAUUAUUCUGUGUAUCCUUUGGACUAGUUUUGUUUGCCCUGAAAGGGGAGGGCUUUAUAAUUUUGGCUGAAGGGGGAACUGAUCUACCACAAAAGAAAUUGAAGCAUGGAUGCAAUUUGAUAGAGGAAAGGUAAGAGAUCUGAAAUGGGGCAUAGUAUUGUUUCAGACAAGUCCUAUGAUGCAUUUUAAUUUCUGAUAACAUCAGGUGUUAUCCUUGUCAGAUGGAAAGCUUCAAGAGUUACUGACACUUGUGGUGACUUGCAUGUGAAAGC